rnacentral:rRNA from 1 species
AAGGGUUCGUAGGCGGGACAAUAAGUCAGUGGUGAAAGUUUGUGGCUCAACCAUAAAAUUGCCAUUGAUACUGUUGUUCUUGAGUUGUUGUGAAGUGGUUAGAAUGUGUAGUGUAGCGGUGAAAUGCAUAGAUAUUACACAGAACACCAAUUGCGAAGGCAUAUCACUAACAAUAUACUGACGCUGAUGAACGAAAGCGUAGGUAGCCAACAGGAUUAGAUACCCUGGUAGUCUACGCUGUAAACGAUGGUUACUAGCUGUUCGGAGCACAUUAGUGCACUGAGUGGUUAAGCGAAAGUGAUAAGUAACCCACCUGGGGAGUACGUUUGCAAGAAUGAAACUCAAAGGAAUUGACGGGGGCCCGCACAAGCGGUGGAGCAUGUGGUUUAAUUCGAUGAUACGCGAGGAACCUUACCAAGGCUUAAAUGCAUAUUGACGAUUCAGGAAACUGGAUUUUCUUCGGACAAUUUGCAAGGUGCUGCAUGGUUGUCGUCAGCUCGUGCCGUGAGGUGUCAGGUUAAGUCCUAUAACGAGCGCAACCCCUGUGGUUAGUUACCAGCAUGUAAUGAUGGGGACUCUAGCCAGACUGCCGGUGCAAACCGUGAGGAAGGUGGGGAUGACGUCAAAUCAUCACGGCCCUUACGCCUUGGGCUACACACGUGCUACAAUGGUAUAUACAAUGAGCAGCCAUCUGGUGACAGAGCGCUAAUCUAAAAAGUAUAUCACAGUUCGAAUCGGAGUCUGCAACUCGACUCUGUGAAGCUGGAAUCGCUAGUAAUCGC